GUCCUUUAGAAUUUAAUUGAAGGUCUGACCUGCCCAGUGAUUAAUUUAACGGCCGCGGUAUACUGACCGUGCAAAGGUAGCAUAAUCAUUAGUCUUUUAAUAGAGGGCUGGAAUGAAAGGUUUAACGAGGAAUUGACUGUCUCAUCUUAUUUGUUUUAAAAUUUAAUUUUUUAGUUAAAAAGCUGAAAUUUUAUUGGUAGACGAGAAGACCCUAUAGAUCUUUAUAAAUAAUUGUGUAAUUAUUUUUAUAUUAACACUUUUAUUCAAUUAUUUAUUUUGUUGGGGUGACAAAAACAUAUAAAUAACUUUUUUAUUUACAAAACAUUGAUUUAUGAAUAUUAGAUCCAUUAUUAUUGAUUAUUAGAAUAAGUUACCUUAGGGAUAACAGCGUAAUCCUCUUCCAGAGUUCAUAUUUACGAGGGGGUUUGCGACCUCGAUGUUGGAUUAAGAUAAUAGUUAGGUGUAGCCGCUUAAUAUAUAGGUCUGUUCGACCUUUAAAUUCUU
rnacentral:rRNA from 1 species